CAUGAGGAACUGUAUUAAAGGGUCGCGGCAUUAGGAAGGUUGAGAACUACUGGUCUAGAUAGAAGUAAAAUGCUGAGGAGGUUUAGGGUGAUUAAAUUACUCAUAAGUUGGGGUAUCCUGGAAUACUUCCUGGAGGAAGUGGCCUAUGCUUUGUAUCUUAAAAAAUAGGAUGAGGGGCAUUGGAAAUGUGGUGAGUCAUGGGGCCGGGAGGAUGGAAGUACCCAUGGCGUUUAAGUCAUAAGCUGUCGAACUUGCGGUCCUCAUUCAGGGAAAUGAUUUGAACCCCAGGGUGUGUGACUGGGAGGAGUAUAAGAAGUGACUGAAGGAGGAGGCUUGAAGCUAUGUCACAAGACCCUUAGAUAAAGGACUCUGGACUUAUCUUUAGACAAGGGAAGGCUAUAAAAUGCUCUUGAGCAGAGAAGGGACAUUAAGGUUCUCCUAUACAAAGAUGGCUCUGGCAAAAGUGUGGAGAGUGGGUUGUAGGAUUUGAAGGCAGAGAGCCCAGUUAGGAGGUUCAAGCCAGUAAAGGAGGUUCCUAAGUGACAGGUGUAGGCUGAUAGUCUCCCGGAAGCACCUGCCCAGAACCAGCUCACCUGGGCAUUGACUGCACACUGUCCAGUGAUCCAAGUUUAGUGGAAACCUGCCUUCCCUUUAAUGUACCCCCUGUGGCCUGGAGUCUAAGGAAUCAUUGUGAUUUUGACCAUAUUUACCUUCCAAGCCUCAUUUCCACCUUUCAGGACAGCCCUCAAGUCUGCAGCCAAAUCUUAGCUCAUUGCAGGCUUGAUUUACUCACUCUUGCACCUCAGGCUACUCUGAGAGAGAGAGAGAGAGAGAGAGAGAGAGAGAGAGAGAGAGAUUUCUUAACAUUGCAGAGCAGGCUGUGCCCUAUCAUGUUCUGAAGAAAUGAUGAACAAUGUCUCCUUUGUUGACCUGCAACCUGGGCCAAUGGGGUAGUACUUUGUUUUGUUAUUUUAAAGAGAUGGAAAAGUGAUGAUGACAGAAAAUUGUCUGUUGCUUUUGAAAAUGGUGGUGUUUUCCUGUGUGUUUGAAAUCCUCUUGGUGAAAGGUGAUGAGCCUAUGAAGUUACCCUCCUUUCUGCCAUGCAGACGUUGUAGGCUUCUUAAAAUGCUUCUGCUCAGCAUCCGACUUUUUAAAAACUGCCUAAAUACUCUGACCCAGAUUCUUCCAAGGAACUCAACUCUUCCAGGGAAGCAUGUUAACCCUUUCUAGGUUCCCCCAAAUUUAUGAGAGUCAGUAACUUCCUCCAGGAAGCUCUGCUAUUGACUGCUGUCUGCUCUUGGGCCCUAAUUAACUAGCUGGGUAUACCAUUCCUGUCCUUUCUAGCCUAAAAGUCUUUUAUUUUUGGUCUAACUUCCAUCUCCUCAGGAUUGGGCACCCUGAAGGUGCAUGGAGAAUGUUGAAUGAGUAUUGAAUAUAGUCAAGUUAGGGUCUCACUGCAGUGCCUACAGCAGCCUCCUCAGUCAGAUAGUUAAUCAGCAACUUGUUUCUGGAUACUUUAGGAGUGCUUAGAUUGGGAGAAUGAGCAACUAACUCACACACACACACACACACACACCACACACUUUUAGAUAGACAGAGGGGUCAGUUAAGUAACCAAAAAUUUGCCAUGAAUUUGUGUUUGGGCCAAACAAACAAAGAUAAAAACCAACCCAGGAAGUUGCUGGCCCUCCACCCUAACUGUUUAAGAAGAAAGCUUCUUUGCAAAUGUGCUCACAGACUAUUUUUCAGUAUCCUUUUCCUGGGCAGCGAAAAUAGCACCACGUUGACACACUCUCCACCCCUUUCUCAAAUGGAGAAUUAAGCUCCUAAACUCGAGAAAAGACUUUGGCUUUGGAAGGCUCCUCUUAGAUCGCAACGGCCUUUAUUUUUUCAGUCAUCCUCCUUUCUCUCCCAAAGCAGAGAGAAUAUUGGACCGUGUUCAUCAGCGGUCACGUCUUUGAUCCCACUGUGAGACCAGCAACUCACAAGGCGUCUUUGCUACUGUAUCAUGCCCCGUUAUUAGGACCAGAGGCUGCUGUGUUUCCUCUGUCCCCUUUUCUGCCCCCAAGAAGGGCUAUUCUCUGUCUUAUUGCUUCACCUGUUUGCUUUAAACCUUAAAACAAAUAAUGCAGCUACAUGUAGUGAGACUCCCCUUUGUCCUGGAGUAUCUGAAUGAUUUGUGGGUUUGGUUUAAAGUACAGAAAGGAGAGAGAGCGAGAGAAGAAGAAAAAAGAUUCCCUGCAGCCUGCCAGAGACGUGGUCGCUGCCCUGCCAAGAGCUAUCUGGGAGAGCUAUUGAAAGAGCCUUGAGGAUGCUUCCUGAGAAGAAAUAUUCUUCCCCAGUCACUGAUGUUUUAGCAUUUCAACAUCUGUGGAAGGUGAUGCCAUUGAUCUGCCUUCCAUAGAGGUAGGAGCCCCGUUUUUGAACCUAGAGUAUAAAGGAGAAAGCAGGGUCAGAGGGAGGCCGCCUGGUGGUUGGACGGUUGUGCUCAAGGUAUGCUUGACAUGACGGCUUCUUCUUCGGUUAGAGUGUGUGUGCUCUGAGCUUCCUCCCCUACCAGUUUGCACCCAGAUUGUGGCUACCGCAUAGCAGUGCUACCGAGGACUCUUGCACCUACUUACUAUGGCUGAGCACAUCUGUUUUUCUUAGGCAGGUGAAUGUGGAAAAACGAGUGCUAACAUUUGAAAUCCAAGCCAUUGUUUCAUAGCCGAAGGAAGACCCUAAAGGAAGGAGCAUUUUCCCACAUGAAAUAUUUGCCCUUUUAGCCUUGAAGUUGACUAAAACUUUAAUAGGAAAAAAAAAAAACACCCAGAAAAUUUUUUUCCAAAUAGGCCAAAGUCAAGGUUUAUUCUUUGUUAAUUCCCUUAAAAAAAAGAGAGAGAGACAAAAAGAAAAAUGGCUCCCUCGCCUGAGUGGUCUUCUAUGUGCCUAUUUAAUGAUUAAUAAUACCUUGUGGGCUAUUGUUUGAUGUGGCCUCUGCUGGUUUGAACAGGAGAAUACUGAUUCACUUGUAAGGCAUUUAUGAAUCACGAGUGUUUACCCUGAAACAAUAAAUGAGAGGGGGAGAUGAAAAAACACCCAAAUAUGCUGAAUUCUUUGACUAAAAACUGUAGAUAACCCUGUGUGGGGUCCACCACUUUCUCUCGGAGAAGAAAGGUUGUGUACAAUGACCAAGACUGGGGCUUUGGAGUUUUGUGGAUUUUUUUCCUUUCACUUACUGAUAGGGUUGAGCCAACUUUCUCACUCCGUUUCCGUACCACAUGCAUUCAUUUUCUUCUGAUCUGUCUUUUGACUUGUAAUCCAGAGGGGAAGCUGGAGCCCUGCCUUAACUAAAGUGGGGCUGGUGGGCUGAGAGAAGGGAUUCAAGAGGCUACGAGACCUGCCAGGCCUCAACUGGACCAUGAUGGGGAAGGAGGAGUCAAAAGAUGACGGCUGGUUUGUUGUCUGAACUAUGUGGACCCUUCUUCCACAUUCCACGUUUAAUAAUAACUCCUAGACUUGUUUCCCCUUCUUCCUGCCCCAACGCCUAGAGUUCAGUGAAAAAAGACUUCCAAAUUUGCCCCAAUGAUGCUUAAAUAUAUUUUUAUAUUUUGAGAUAAUUUUAGACUUAUAGAAAAGUUGCAAAAAUAGUACGUAGGGCUCAUUUAACCCUCGAACCAGCUUCCCCGGUGUUACCAUCUUAUACAAUGAUGGAGUGAUCAUUAAAACUAAGGAAAUCAUCUUGCUCCAAUCCUAUAACUACAGACUUAAUUCAGAUUCCACCAUUUUUUCCAUUAAUGUAUUGUGUUUUCUUUCGGUUCCAGGACCCCAUCCAGGCUUCCAAAGUGUGUUUAGUUAUCUUAUCUCCUUCAUCUGCUUCACUCUGUGGCAGAUCCACCAUCUUUCCUUGUCUUUCAUGACACUUUCAAGAGUCCUAGUCAGUUGUUUCAUAGAAUGUCCUCCACUGGGGUCCGUCUGCCAUUUUCUCGUGGCGAUAUUGAGGAGCUGCAUUAUUGGGAAGAACACCCAGACGUACCUGAUGUUGUAUUUCACUGCCGUUAAACAUGAUCACAAGGUUAAGAUCGUUUCUCCAGGAUUGUCUAUGAUCAAGUUACGACUUUUGUAUUUCUUAAAAGUUUUUUUGGGGUGUGUGUGUGUGUGUGUGUGAUAUUUCAAAGCAAUGCAAAUAUGCUAUUACGCUUGCACUUCUGCCUACUAAAUCUAUCAAAGGAUCUCACCUGUGGCAAUGAAUAUUGUGGCAAUCUUAAAGUCAUGUUAUUCCCCUCAUUCCUUCUACAUUUAUAAAUUGCAACUCUUCUUAAGGAGGAGUUGCAUGGUGUUACAUUGUGGUAAAGCAGAAAUAAAAAAUAACCCAUACUCUUGGAGCCUAAAUUUUAGAUGAAGAGAUAGACAAGCAAAAUAAAUAAGUGGAUUUGAUAGUAUAUUGAAUGGUGACAAGUACUGCAAAGAGAAAUCAAGUAAGGGAGGGGAGAUAGAAAGUGCCAGGAGGUGCAGGUUUAAAUUGCAUGGUUAGGGAAGGCCUUAGAGAGAAGACUUGAAGCAAAGGAGGGAGCCAGUGUGUGAAGCUUUCUCCAAAGAAGAAAUAGCAAGUACAAAGACUCAGAGGCAGGACCACAUCCAGCCUAAGUACUCUAAGGAAGCCAGGCGGCCAGAGUGAUGGGUGCCAAGUGAGCAAAGUGGGAAGGGGAGUGAGAGAGAGCUGAUGCAGGCCUGGGGACAUUUUACUGACCUGGCUAUUGAUCUGAGGAAGGCAGGAGCCAUUGCAAGAUUUUGAGCAAAGAGGUCACAUGAUGUGACUUCAUAUUAUUAAAAAAUCUGCUCUGUGGUUGGCAAGGACAGAGGCAAGGAGACCCUGCUUAGGGAGCUAUGACAUCAUCCAGGUAAGAGAUGGAAGUGGGUUGGACCAGAAUGGUAGCAAAGAGGUGAUUGGAUUGUGCAUGUGUUUUGACAGUAGAACUAACACUGCUAAGAAAGGUCUUCAGCAGCUUUGGCCACCUCCUGAACGCCCAGGGCAUGUAUCUUCCCUCUCCCACCUUGAAGUGGGGCUCCAGGAACAAGAUUGAGAAACACGGGCUGGCCACCUGGAGUCUAAGCUCUGCAGUCCCUCAUUGGAGCCUUCUUUAUCUGGGUCUACCUUCAUUUUCUCUGCACCCCCACUUCUCUCUGCCCCAGGCCCACCUCUGCCCAGGCCAGCCCACCACCAUUUGCUCACAGUCUCCCACCCCUGCUCUGCCAAACAAGAUCCUUCCCCUCCUUUAAGGUUCAGCUUCGCCACCCCAGGCCCCUCUAGGAACACCUUCCCUCUUGGUUGUUGACACUAACUAGACUCUGCUUCACAGGUGCAGCCCCGGAGACAAACAGGCUCUCAGACACCCCUGCAGCUCAGGGACCCUGGAACACUGAGCCGGCACCGAGCGCUUGGUCGACAUUUCCUGAAUACCCCCUAGAGGCCAUGCACUGUGUGACGUGCUGGAGAAAUAGAGACAAGGCCACAGUUCCGUGAUACUAAUGUGACUUGUGCCGAAGGAGAGGUGUUGCUGGAGUUUGGGGUGAAUAAGACAGACACAGCCCCCGGCCUCGUGGCGUUUAUGAUCCACAGGGAAGAGAAACCCGUUAUGAUGGAGUUCAAGGAAACGUGGUGAGUUAUAUUCAUUCUCCCAUGGUCCUCCAUGCCUCAGAGACGGCACCUGGCCCAGGACUGGAUGACUCCUUGGUACCUGAGAUAUCCUUGUCCUGCAUUUAUUCGUGCCUUCAUUUGCAAACAUUUGCUAAACCCCAUGUUAUGUGUCAUGUUGAAUGAAUUGUAUCCCACACUCUGUGCUAA